GGGGACAUGGAGGAGAGAGGCAAGCAGAGGGGACAGGAGAACAUAUGUGGGGACCUGCAGGGUGUGCGAGGGGCCCCGAAUUCAGGUGCUGGAGAGGCAGUCAUGUGACAUAGUGUAACCAAUGAGAUGUGAGAACACUAGACAGUCCAACCCUAUGCCUCCAGGCCCAGAAGUGGAAGCAGGCCAUUCUGGAAAAGCCCAGUUAGACUGGAACCUACAGGACUGGAUGUUGGGUGAGCUGCUGCUCAUGUUGACCUGGGACAGGAUGCUCAGUGCAGGUGUGGGCUAAGGCUGGGCUAACUUUCAUUCAGAUGAUCAUUUCUCGGAGGAAGGAAUGGGUCGACCAAGUGACUUCUCCACACUGACUUGUCAGCCUUCUGCUUCUGAUUUUCAGUUAUGAAAAAAAAUGUGUGUAAUUGGGAGGAAAUGUUCCCAGAACUGAGCGUCAAGGGAACAGAGUGUGAACUGGAAGUUCCCAUAUGACAGCCGGGCCAGUCCAUGGGUCACUGUCAGAGCCCUCACACUCAGCACCCAGUGGGUGCUCGUGGAUGUUCUCUGAAGGUGUGAAGAAGGUGUGAAAGUUUGAGAUUAGCCAUGGCAGACCCUGUCACCUGAAGAGUCCCUUGGGGUACAAAGGCAGAUGAUACUUGAGAUCCUGGACACAUCUGGAAGUAAACUAUGGUCCCUGAUUCCUGGCCCAAAGAAAAAGACAAUCCUUGAGCCAAUUCCCUCUAAAGACAUCCUAUGGAUCCUCACAAAUCAGUUUUCCCACAAGCACUUAGAGCCACUGCUGGCUGGGAGUCUGGCCAGUACACCCUGUGUCCUCCAGGAACAUCCUGUGGGCUGUCUCAAGUCAGGGAAGUCAGGCAGUGGAAGAGAUUCCUCCCCACCUCCACUGGUUCUGCUUGCGAGUGACCAAAGCUCACUGGUCAUUGGGUGGGUUCAUUCUGCCUUCCGAGUCCAGGGAGGCAGCUUCUGCCAAGUAGGCAAGUAGGCAGCUUCUUCAAACCUUACUCCUGUCCUUUGCCAGCUGCCAGCAUUUGCAGAAGUUCCUCCACCACACUGGGACAACAUUUACUUAGUUGUAAAAUAAAUGACAACGAUGUCAUAUUCUUUACAAAGACAUUAGAAUGAAUCAAGGGAAGCUGGACGUGGUGGUGCUGCUGCCACCGCAGAGCACGGGAGGAUUACAAGUUUAAACCCGGCCUGUGCUGCAUGAGCAGUGUGAGGCCAGUGAGCUGUCUACGUAAAAUUUAAAUUACAAACUAACUCUGUUUGUAAGCUGAAGAGUGGGCAUGUGUGCGGGAUCUUUCCCAGUGUGUGUGCAGUGACUUACAGAAGGGUCUGCAGGGUGCCCUCCUCGGUCUGUGUGGCUUUUACCCUCCAGCUUCUUCAGCGCUACUUUCUCCGAUGCUCAUCUUGUUUCCAGAGUGACUUAUUCCAUGAGAUGCAUUUGAGCCUCGAGGCUCGCCUGUCCUCCCUCUCCCAGCCCCUCCCACCCUGUGCACAUAUGGAGUCAUGACAGUGAUCUGACAAUGACUUGGAGGAGAACCUUGGCCACCACUGGCAAAUGCUGUCUCCAUUCGGUCAGUGGUUGUAUGGAGGCCUGGAGACGUGGCUCUGUGAGCAGAAUGCUUGCCCUGCACUCCAAAGUCCUGAGUUCAAUCCCCAGCCCCACAAUAAAUAGGAGGGUGGUGGAUGGCUCAGUAGGUAAAGAUACUUGCCCCAAAGUCUGAUGAACUGAGUUCAGUCCUGAAACCCACAUGUAGAAGAGCAUGAAUUCCUACAAAUUGUUCUCUGAUCUCUUCAUGAACACUGUGACACACAUGUAUGCAUGUGCAUAAACACAAACACAUAUAUACACAUACAUAACAUAUAUGCAUACAUACCUUCAGACAUAUAUACACAUACACGUAUACAAGCAUAUACACACAGAUUUCAAACAUACAUACCUACACAUAUAAACAUAUACAUACACAUACACAUUCACACAUGCACAUACACACAUACACUCACACACACAAACACACAAAAUGCACAUCAUACAUAUACAUACAUACAUAUACACAUACAUUCACACACACAUCCACUCACACACAUAAGCACAUGCAUACAUACAAACAUAUACACACACACACCAUAAAUAACAUUUUAAGAGAGUGGUGCUUUGUGCAUGUAAUCUCAACACUCGGGAGCUGGAUGGACGUAGGGGUCAGAAGCUCAAGGUCAUCCUCUACAAUAGAGUGAACCUGAGUCCAUCCUGGAACUCAUUAGACACUUACAGAGGAAGCCAGGUAGAUGGUGUGGUUCAGAAAUCCUCUCUGCUAGGCAGUUCAAGACCACAGUAGGCACAUCUUAGUCAGGAAGCCCUCACUGAACUGUCCUUUCCCAAAGGUUCAUGUCAUUGUAGUUUCCAAAGUGGGAGGCACCAGGAGCCUGGCACCCUGAUGAUUCUGUGAUGGAUAUAACAUGAGUUAUAUAUAACAGAGUGUGCCCUCUGUUACUUGGCUAUGAGGUCUAGAGAUGGUCACCAAUCUCCUCUUCUUCAGGACCUCGGACAGCGGGGUUUCCCCUUAAGAGUCAGUCCUAGUUUCUGUGUUUCCAGUACUUGGGAGCUGUGUGCUUUAAUGCGGUGGGAAGCGCCUCUGCAUCCGUCUAUGUUAACGGCCUUGCUCUUCAUUUUACAAGCCAGGAAAUGUCAGAAGAGUUGAACCCAAUAGCGACACCAUCUAAUAAA